rnacentral:miRNA from 1 species
UAUUAGCUUGGUGCAAAAGUAAUUGCAGUUUUUGCAAUUACUUUUAAUGGCAAAAAUCACAGUACUUUUGCACCAACCAAAUAU